GAGUUAAUUUUUUUAGUUUUGAAAACUUUUUUUAGAUAUUUUUUAUCUUUAACU
rnacentral:tRNA from 1 species